UACGUAGGGUGCUAGCGUUGUCCGGAAUCAUUUGGCGUAAAGAGCGCGUAGGCGGCCCGAUAAGUCCGCUGUGAAAGUCCAGGGCUCAACCCUGGAAUGCCAGUGGAUACUGUCGGGCUAGAGUACGGAAGAGGCGAGUGGAAUUCCUGGUGUAGCGGUGGAAUGCGCAGAUAUCAGGAGGAACACCGAUAGCGAAGGCAGCUCGCUGGGACGGUACUGACGCUGAGGCGCGAAAGCGUGGGGAGCGAACAGG
rnacentral:rRNA from 1 species